UACGGGGGGGGCAAGCGUUGUCCGGAAUUAUUGGGCGUAAAGAGCUCGUAGGCGGUCUGUUGCGUCGGCUGUGAAAACCCGGGGCUCAACUCCGGGCCUGCAGCCGAUACGGGCAGACUAGAGUUCGGCAGGGGAGACUGGAAUUCCUGGUGUAGCGGUGAAAUGCGCAGAUAUCGGGAGGAACACCGGUGGCGAAGGCGGUUCUCUGGGCCUGACCUGACGCUGAGGAGCGAAAGCGUGGGGAGCGAACAGG
rnacentral:rRNA from 1 species